rnacentral:rRNA from 1 species
AGUAAACGAUGAAUGCUAAUUGUCCGUUGCGAGUGAGCGAUGGGUGAUACAGCGAAAGCGUUAAGCAUUCCACCUGGGGAGUACGCCGGCAACGGUGAAACUCAAAGGAAUUGACGGGGGCCCGCACAAGCGGAGGAACAUGUGGUUUAAUUCGAUGAUACGCGAGGAACCUUACCCGGGCUUGAAAGUUAGUGACGAUUCUGGAAACAGGAUUUCCCUUCGGGGCACGAAACUAGGUGCUGCAUGGUUGUCGUCAGCUCGUGCCGUGAGGUGUCGGGUUAAGUCCCAUAACGAGCGCAACCCCUACCGUUAGUUGCCAUCAGGUCAAGCCGGGCACUCUGGCGACACUGCCGCCGCAAGGUGUGAGGAAGGUGGGGAUGACGUCAAAUCAGCACGGCCCUUACGUCCGGGGCUACACACGUGUUACAAUGGGGCAUACAGAGAGUUGGUCAUGCGCAAGCAUGAUCGGAUCAUGAAAGUGUCCCUCAGUUCGGACUGGGGUCUGCAACCCGACCCCACGAAGCUGGAUUCGCUAGUAAUCGCGCAUCAGCCAUGGCGCGGUGAAUACGUUCCCGGGCCUUGUACACACCGCCCGUCAAGCCAUGGAAGCCGGGGGUGCCUGAAGUGCGUGACCGUAAGGAGCGCCCUAAGGUAAAACCGGUGACUGGGGCUAAGUCGUAACAAGGUAUC